rnacentral:rRNA from 1 species
UACGUAGGGGGCUAGCGUUGUCCGGAAUCAUUGGGCGUAAAGAGCGCGUAGGCGGCCAGAUAAGUCCGCUGUGAAAGUCCAGGGCUCAACCCUGGGAUGCCGGUGGAUACUGUCGGGCUCGAGUCCGGAAGAGGAGUGUGGAAUUCCUGGUGUAGCGGUGAAAUGCGCAGAUAUCAGGAGGAACACCAAUUGCGAAGGCAGCUCGCUGGGACGUAACUGACGCUGAGACGCGAAAGCGUGGGGAGCGAACAGG